rnacentral:misc_RNA from 1 species
UCUCCGUUGGUGAACCAGCGGAGGGAUCAUUACAGAGUUGCAAAACCCCCAAACCAUCGUGAACGUUACCUAUCCCGUUGCAUCGGCGGGCGGCCCGGGCCCCGCGCCCGGCGCCCCCCGGCCCCCCGUGGGCGCCCGCCGGAGGUAAACCAAACCCUUGAAUUGCAUGGCCUCUCUGAGUCUUCUGUACUGAAUAAGUCAAAACUUUCAACAACGGAUCUCUUGGUUCUG